rnacentral:rRNA from 1 species
CCAGAUUGGGACAGAAAGAAGCAUCAUAAUUUUCUGUGAUGCAUUUGCUUGUUUGGUGCUUGGGGAUGUUUGAGGCAGAUUUGUAACCGCCGUUUUGAGGCCAGCUUGCUGGUACCCAAACAGCGUUAGCAUCUUUUGUCUUGGACAUUUGAGUAUGGUUUACGGGCAUUUAUUGGUUCGAUCUGAUUGUAAGUUACGGUCGCAUGCGACACGUGCUUUUCAUUUAGAUCGGUCCAGUUAAUGCUCUCGUACUCGCUCCCCAUGUAAAAGCCGGUCAUCUAUCCGACCCGUCUUGAAACACGGACCAAGGAGUUUAUCGUGUGCGCAAGUUUUUGGGUGUUAAAAACCUAAAAGCGAAAUGAAAGUAAAUGGCUCUUUAGAGUCUGACGUGCGAUCUUGUAAAAAAGGGCAGCAUGGCCCCAUUCUAACUGUUUACAGUAGGGUGGAGGAAGAGCGUACGCGGUGAGACCCGAAAGAUGGUGAACUAUUCCUGAGCAGGACGAAGCCAGAGGAAACUCUGGUGGAAGUCCGAAGCGGUUCUGACGUGCAAAUCGAUCGUCUGAC